rnacentral:rRNA from 1 species
UCCAGACUCCUACGGGAGGCAGCAGUGAGGAAUAUUGGUCAAUGGCCGAGAGGCUGAACCAGCCAAGUCGCGUGAGGGAUGACGGCCCUACGGGUUGUAAACCUCUUUUGCCGGGGAGCAAAGAGCGGGACGCGUCCCGCCUCGAGAGUACCCGGAGAAAAAGCAUCGGCUAACUCCGUGCCAGCAGCCGCGGUAAUACGGAGGAUGCGAGCGUUAUCCGGAUUUAUUGGGUUUAAAGGGUGCGUAGGCGGUUUUUUAAGUUAGUGGUUAAACGUCGGGGCUUCACCUUGAUUUGCCAUUAAUACUGUAAGACUCGAGUUCAGACGAGGUAGGCGGAAUAAGUUAAGUAGCGGUGAAAUGCUUAGAUAUAACUUAGAACUCCGAUAGCGAAGGCAGCUUACCAGACUGCGACUGACGCUGAAGCACGAGAGCGUGGGUAGCGAACAGGAUUAGAUACCCCAGUAC